ACAUCUAAAUACAUAAAUUAUAUUAAUUAAAAAAUAUAUAAAUCCAUUCAUAUAAUACAACGAUACAGUGAAUACAAUGAAAUACAUAGUAUACAGCAAGAUACUUUAAAAUACAAUAAAAAAAGACAAUAAAUAUAAUGAAAUACAUAUAAAAUACAACGAGAUACAUUGAAAUAUAUUAACAGAAAAUUUAAGUUGCUCAGCCUCAAACUCCAUCGUCUUUGUUCAAGAACAAUAUCUAAUAUUUAUUUUCGCUCAAUUUCCCUGUACGUUUCUAGGCCAACAGCACUGGCACUGAUCUAUGGGCAGAUGGCAUGUAAGUAAAGCCAUUUUCUCUAAAGGAGUGGAAAUAUCAUCAAGAUCUAAGCAUUGAAAAGGUAAAUGAAUAAGAAAUUCCUUAUUUUCAAUAGCAGAUUGUCUUCAAAAAGAAAUACAAGUUUGGAAAGGAAAAUACCAGUAUCACUCGCAUUGAUUGAGAACACUUUAAAGAAAUGGGGAUACAUGUUCGCCACUUAUUCCUCAAAUAAAACUACAAUUUACAAACUUCAAUUGAGACAGAAAAAUAGCCUCCAGAUUGUUGAUUCCAUGAAACUGAAAAGAAGACCAAAAAAAGAGAAAUUUCCCCAGCAUUUCAUAGGCUAAGAAACGUCUUCAUACUCUUCAUUAUAAAAGUGAAACUUAUUAGCAUCAACCAGGGUGGCAUAUCAACGGCCAUCAGAAUGGCGUGGAUUUUUCUCUAUAGGGCUUGAUUUUGACAUUGAUUCAGAGCACCAACCCAUUGACAAUGAAAAUUUCGUGAGACAAUGAGAUGAAUCAGUGGAAAAUAGUGGUUGUAUUCAUGGAGAAAGAUGGGAUUGAGAGAAAGAGGGGUGGGAAAAAAUAUGAAAGAAUGACAAAGAAAUAAUACAAAAAGUAUUUUAUGGCUUAAGGGUAGGAGGUAACCAUAAAUAAAUAUUUGGCUAUAAAAAUCAAAAUACAUCUAUGGAAUAUAAUUUAAAAAAAG
rnacentral:lncRNA from 1 species